UGUUCCUCUUCGGGUGAUAGAACCACUGCGUUAGUCAAGGACCAGUGGUUGAACAAGGAUUAAAAGGAAUCCCUACGCGAAGUGGUGAAGGGUGGGUUUUACUAAUCCUGAUUUUUCACAGAGUUUACUCCCCUCUGGAUGGUGACAGUCUGGCCUGAGGUGAUGUUAGGUUUGACGACAGGUUAAUGUAAACAGGAAAAAUCAAUCAAGAUCCUGAGCAUCUGUUAGGGGUGAAGAGGCUAAUUUGGACAAUGGGUGUCUCAUCAGAUUUGAUUCAUUUUUUGAGGUAAUCUCUUCUCUCUUUGAUUUAAGUAAUCUGCAUAGCUAUAAAGAGAUACAAAUUGGUUC